rnacentral:tRNA from 4 species
GGAGGCGUGGCAGAGCGGCCGAAUGCACCUGUCUUGAAAACAGGAGUCCUUCACGGGACCGGGGGUUCAAAUCCCUCCGCCUCCG